UACGGGGGGAGCAAGCGUUGUUCGGAUUUACUGGGCGUAAAGGGCGCGUAGGCGGUCGUGACAAGUCACUUGUGAAAUCUCCGGGCUUAACUCGGAACGGUCAAGUGAUACUGUCGGACUAGAGUACAGAAGGGGCAACUGGAAUUCUCGGUGUAGCAGUGAAAUGCGUAGAUAUCGAGAGGAACACCUGCGGCGAAAGGCGGGUUGCUGGGCUGAUACUGACGCUGAGGCGCGAAAGCCAGGGGAGCGAACGGG
rnacentral:rRNA from 1 species